UCCUGCUCAUUCCAGCACCCCUGGGCCAGGGCCAGUCCUGCUCUGAAGCACUUGGCCUCAGCUGGCGUCUCGGCCCGGAUCUGGGGACGUGCGCCUCUGGAGUUGCUGGCUGGACGAGGAUCUGGGCAGCUGGGAGCCACUUCCCCUGGCACUGGCUCUCCAGGCACAAUCCAUGCACAAGGUACUGAAGACUGUGGGGCUUAUGGGGAGCCCAGUGAGCCAGAAGCCGAGAUGUUCAAGCAGCUUCCAGCUGCACAGCCGGGAGCAGCAGCUGCGGCUGAUCAGGGACUGUCCCUCCCGGCCGAGGAGGAGAUCCUCGCUGGUCCCACCCCAUGAGCCCAUCGUUGAGCACCCUGAUGAGGAUUGUGAGUCAGAUCCAGGCCCCAGUGCAGCUCCUGGGGAUCCCUGCUUUGCCAGGGGCCCUGCCGAGGCCCUGGCACUUGGCCCACCUUCCUAGCACCACGUGCCCGGUGGGUGCCGAGGGACGCGGGUUCAGAGGGAGCUAUUAAAAGACAAUGUCCUGAG